UACGAAGGGGCAUCAGCGUUGUUCGGAUUUACUGGGCGUAAAGGGCGCGUAGGCGGCGUGGUAAGUCACUUGUGAAAUCUCUGAGCUUAACUCAGAACGGUCAAGUGAUACUGCUGUGCUAGAGUGCGGAAGGGCAAUCGGAAUUCUUGGUGUAGCGGUGAAAAUGCGUAGAUAUCAAGAGGAACACCUGAGGUGAAGACGGGUGCUGGGCCGACACUGACGCUGAUGCGCGAAAGCCAGGGGAGGCAAAGCAGG
rnacentral:rRNA from 1 species